rnacentral:rRNA from 2 species
UACAGAGGGUGCGAGCGUUGUCCGGAAUCACUGGGCGUAAAGGGCGCGUAGGUGGUGGCUUAAGCGUGCGGUGAAAGCUCGGGGCUCAACUCCGAGUCGGCCGUGCGAACUGGGCUCACUGGAGCAUAGUAGAGGCAGGUGGAAUUCCGGGUGUAGCGGUGGAAUGCGUAGAGAUCCGGAAGAACACCGGUGGCGAAGGCGGCCUGCUGGGCUAUGGCUGACACUGAGGCGCGACAGCGUGGGGAGCAAACAGG